rnacentral:lncRNA from 1 species
GUGGCAUCUUCUUGAGAUUGGCCUCCAGGGUGGAGAUCCUGGCGGGGGAACCCCUUAAAGAGAAUCGGGGGAUUGGAAAUGGCGGAGAGCCAGCAGAGAUGGCAAAAAGCAGCGCAAAGGAUGCUCGGAGUCGGAAGGGGCACCGAUGGAGUGGCAGAGUGGCUAAGUUCUCUGGCGAAAGGAAGAUGUCGUCCCUCAGGCGAAGUGAAG